CCUCGCCUUGUGCACGGGGCUGUCAACGGACGGAUGGUCAUCGGAAAGCCUGCUGCCAGUGACAUUGCCAACCGACACCAGUGAGCCCAGUCCGGAAUACCGCUGCACGGAUAGACUUUCACGGACUUGGUGGCCAGUGCAAGUUUCGAUUUUUGUGGCCCUGAACUAUACAGCCAAAUCGACAGCGACAGGCGAGGCCUGGAGAUACGCCCCCGACUUUUUCAGCGGCAUUGGGCAAGGUUGCAGCGCCGGCAUGCGGCCACGGAAUAAUCUGCUCUUGUACGUCCUGCAGCGCCCAUUUGAAGAACUG
rnacentral:lncRNA from 1 species